rnacentral:misc_RNA from 1 species
CUUACAUAGGAAUAUUUCCUCAGUUCCUUCAGCGCUCUAGGGUUUUUAACACCGCCGCUUCAAGCAUCGCAGACUCAACCCAUCUUGGCAGGCAAGCGCUCGAGUAGAAGAAGAAUACUAAAAAAUGCCGUCGCACAAGACUUUCAAGAUUAAGAAGAAGCUAGCGAAGAAGAUGAGGCAGAACAGGCCUAUCCCUCAUUGGAUUCGUAUGCGCACCGACAAUACCAUCAGGUACAACGCUAAGCGCAGGCACUGGCGUCGUACGAAGCUUGGCUUCUGAGAAUGCUUUGAAUUAGUUAUUCAUUAGGGUUUAUUUUAAGAUUACG